GCCAGACUCCUACGGGAGGCAGCAGUGAGGAAUAUUGGUCAAUGGGCGCGAGCCUGAACCAGCCAAGUCGCGUGAGGGAAGACGGUCCUAUGGAUUGUAAACCUCUUUUGUCGGGGAGCAAAAGACGCCACGUGUGGCGUUCCGAGAGUACCCGAAGAAAAAGCAUCGGCUAACUCCGUGCCAGCAGCCGCGGUAAUACGGAGGAUGCGAGCGUUAUCCGGAUUUAUUGGGUUUAAAGGGUGCGUAGGCGGAAUAUCAAGUCAGCGGUAAAAAUUCGGGGCUCAACCCCGUCGUGCCGUUGAAACUGAUGUUCUUGAGUGGGCGAGAAGUAUGCGGAAUGCGUGGUGUAGCGGUGAAAUGCAUAGAUAUCACGCAGAACUCCGAUUGCGAAGGCAGCAUGCCGGCUCCACACUGACGCUGAGGCACGAAAGCGUGGGUAUCGAACAGGAUUAGAUACCCGAGUACA
rnacentral:rRNA from 1 species